rnacentral:rRNA from 1 species
UACGUAGGGCGCAAGCGUUGUCCGGAAUUAUUGGGCGUAAAGAGCUCGUAGGCGGCCUGUUGCGUCCGCUGUGAAAUCCCGGGGCUUAACCCCGGGCUUGCAGUGGAUACGGGCAGGCUGGAGGCAGGCAGGGGAGACUGGAAUUCCUGGUGUAGCGGUGAAAUGCGCAGAUAUCAGGAGGAACACCGGUGGCGAAGGCGGGUCUCUGGGCCGAUACUGACGCUGAGGAGCGAAAGCGUGGGGAGCAAACAGG